GACCGGUUAGCUUAGUUGGUCAGAGCGUCGUGCUAAUAACGCGAAGGUCGCGGGUUCGAUGCCCGUACUGGCCA
rnacentral:tRNA from 1 species